UACGGGGGGGCAAGCGUUGUUCUGAAUUACUGGGCGUAAAGGGCGCGUAGGCGGGUUUCCAAGUCGGGGGUGAAAUUCCAGGGCUCAACCCUGGGACGGCCUUCGAUACUGGGAGCCUGGAGAUCGGGAGAGGUGAGUGGAAUUCCGAGUGUAGAGGUGAAAUUCGUAGAUAUUCGGAGGAACACCAGUGGCGAAGGCGGCUCACUGGUCCAUUACUGACGCUGAGGUGCGAAAGCGUGGGGGGCAAACAGG
rnacentral:rRNA from 1 species